rnacentral:rRNA from 1 species
UACGUAGGGUGCGAGCGUUGUUCGGAAUUACUGGGCGUAAAGGGCGCGUAGGCGCCUUCUAAGUCGAACGUGAAAUCCCCGGGCUCAACCCGGGAACUGCGUCCGAUACUGGAAGGCUUGAAUCCGGGAGAGGGAUGCGGAAUUCCAGGUGUAGCGGUGAAAUGCGUAGAUAUCUGGAGGAACACCGGUGGCGAAGGCGGCAUCCUGGACCGGUAUUGACGCUGAGGCGCGAAAGCCAGGGGAGCAAACGGG